AAUUAGACGCGCAAGAGACCAAAGAGGCUCUGAGAAUAAAACUGCGACGUGAAUCUGACAUCAAUGCCAGCAGGGGUGUCUGGGCUCAGAUGGGCAGGAGCACGGAAGCUGGGGCCAACUGGGGACGGAUUUCUCCAGGGCUAGGCUGACCCCUGGCUUACGCCAAAGACAGAGAAGGACAGGCCGCCAAGAAUCUGGCCUUUCUCCAUCAGCUCAGGGAUCAGUCAAAUCAAAGCAUCAAGAAUCCAGGGUGAGCUCAGAUUAGCGAGGGCAAAAGGGAUGUUCUCCAGACUGACACAAACCACCGGGGUUCAAAUCCCGGCUCCUCCACUUCCCGGCUGUGUUCGAGUCUAAGGUCUUUGAGUCUUAAUUUCCUCACCUGCAAAAUGGAAUCAAAUACAAAUAAUCAGGAAUGACUUUCUGGGUUUCUUUUGGUAAAAGGGUGGAAAUGAAUGGAAAGGAGGAAGCAGGAGUACUGUUCAGCGACUCUUGUGAGCUAAGACAUUGUCCUCAAUGCUUCAGAUUUAUGUUUAUUGCAUUCUCGUAACAACUCAAUGCGGUAUUGGGUGUUCCAUUUUAAUAUGAAAAUGCAGAGGUCUCGCAGGAUAAAGCACUUGCUUGAGUCAGGGAAACAAAUCCCCUUUCCGUCUGCCUCCAAAUCCAUGUUUUAUUAGUACCACCACCCAACACAGAGCACUUUUAACUCCUCAUGCGUACUGCCAUGCUGGGUCCUUAUAAUAUAUGCCAGCCCGGGUGCAGUGGCUCAUGCCUGUAAUCCCAGCACUCUAGAAAGCCAAAGCAGGAGGAUCAGUUGAGGCCAGGAGUUUGAGCACAGCCUGGGCAACAAAGUGAGACCCGCCCCUGCUGACUACGUCUCUAGAAAAAGUAAAAGAAAAAUUAGCUGCAUGUCACGGUGCACACCUGUAAUCCCAGCACUCUAGGAAGUCAAGGCAAGAAGAUGACUUGAGGCCAGGAGUUCAAGACCAGCCUGGAGAACAAAGUGAGGACCCCAUCUCUACAGAAAAUGAAAAAAAUACAAAAAUAAACAAACUUAUCUUGGUAUGAGGGUCCAUGCCUGUAGUCCUCACUACUCAGGAGGCUGAGGUGGGAGGAUCACUUGAGCCCAGGAGGUCAAGGCUGCAGUGAGCCAUGUUCAUGACACUGGGCUCCAACCUAGGCAAUGGAGUGAGACCUCGUCUCUAUAAAACACAACAAAAAAACAACAAUAUUCCUGCAGAGGGAGCCAGCGGUGAGAGCUACCACAGCUCCAUUCUACAGAUGAGGAAACCGAAGCAUGUCCUUUAGGUCUCACUCGCCAAAAUUUUUGCCUCCAAGAGAAAACCAGACCCUCCCUUAUAAAACAAAGUCCAAACGAGUGUAAAAUCGGU
rnacentral:lncRNA from 1 species